rnacentral:rRNA from 1 species
GUCGAGCGGAUGAAAGGAGCUUGCUCCUGGAUUCAGCGGCGGACGGGUGAGUAAUGCCUAGGAAUCUGCCUGGUAGUGGGGGACAACGUUUCGAAAGGAACGCUAAUACCGCAUACGUCCUACGGGAGAAAGCAGGGGACCUUCGGGCCUUGCGCUAUCAGAUGAGCCUAGGUCGGAUUAGCUAGUUGGUGAGGUAAUGGCUCACCAAGGCGACGAUCCGUAACUGGUCUGAGAGGAUGAUCAGUCACACUGGAACUGAGACACGGUCCAGACUCCUACGGGAGGCAGCAGUGGGGAAUAUUGGACAAUGGGCGAAAGCCUGAUCCAGCCAUGCCGCGUGUGUGAAGAAGGUCUUCGGAUUGUAAAGCACUUUAAGUUGGGAGGAAGGGUUGUAGAUUAAUACUCUGCAAUUUUGACGUUACCGACAGAAUAAGCACCGGCUAACUCUGUGCCAGCAGCCGCGGUAAUACAGAGGGUGCAAGCGUUAAUCGGAAUUACUGGGCGUAAAGCGCGCGUAGGUGGUUCGUUAAGUUGGAUGUGAAAUCCCCGGGCUCAACCUGGGAACUGCAUUCAAAACUGUCGAGCUAGAGUAUGGUAGAGGGUGGUGGAAUUUCCUGUGUAGCGGUGAAAUGCGUAGAUAUAGGAAGGAACACCAGUGGCGAAGGCGACCACCUGGACUGAUACUGACACUGAGGUGCGAA